rnacentral:tRNA from 1 species
GGUGACUCAGUGGUAGAGUGCUUGCCUUGCAUGCAUGUGGCCCUAGGUUCGGUUCCUCAGCACCA